AUUGAACGCUGGCGGCAGGCCUAACACAUACAAGUCGAGCGGAUGAAGGGAGCUUGCUCCUGGAUUCAGCGGCGGACGGGUGAGUAAUGCCUAGGAAUCUGCCUGGUAGUGGGGGAUAACGUCCGGAAACGGGCGCUAAUACCGCAUACGUCCUGAGGGAGAAAGUGGGGGAUCUUCGGACCUCACGCUAUCAGAUGAGCCUAGGUCGGAUUAGCUAGUUGGUGGGGUAAAGGCCUACCAAGGCGACGAUCCGUAACUGGUCUGAGAGGAUGCUCAGUCACACUGGAACUGAGACACGGUCCAGACUCCUACGGGAGGCAGCAGUGGGGAAUAUUGGACAAUGGGCGAAAGCCUGAUCCAGCCAUGCCGCGUGUGUGAAGAAGGUCUUCGGAUUGUAAAGCACUUUAAGUUGGGAGGAAGGGCAGUAAGUUAAUACCUUGCUGUUUUGACGUUACCAACAGAAUAAGCACCGGCUAACUUCGUG
rnacentral:rRNA from 1 species